AUGCUGGAGAAUUCAUUUCUAAUAAAUACUCGAAUGAAAAAAUUCGAUACCAUAGUCCCCGCUACUCUCCUCAUAGGAUACUUAUCAAAAGCUCAAUUUUGUACUGGAUCGGGGCAUCCUAUUAGUAAACCCAUUUGGACAGAUUUAUCAGAUUGGGAUAUUCUUGAUCGAUUUGGUCAGAUAUGUAGAAAUCUUUUUCAUUAUCAUAGUGGAUCCUCGAAAAAACGACUUUGUAUCGACUAA
rnacentral:rRNA from 1 species